UGUGUGCUGAGCUUAUCUUGCUGCCGAUGACUACGAAGAAGAUGCCAUAGACGGCGAAUUGCGAAGGCGUCCGAAGCAAACUGCCGUUCAGUAACCAGUCAUUUUGCUUCACCGAGGUGACGAGUUCAACACAACUCUUUAGGGGCCUUCCAGUGUUGAAGUGGCGCCAGUCUACUACGUGUUGCGUGAUCCAGGCACUCAAGUUGACAUGACAGAAAUAGCUGAAAGCAGGUAUGCAAAGUCCAGAUAUGGAAGCAGUAGAUUUGUUAGGUGUUGCAGACUUUGUGACAUUUAUGGAGUCUUUGGACAGGUGCAGAACAUUAGUACAACGUCAACAGUAGGAGAAGAAACCGAUGAGAACUGCUAGCUUGUUUGAAUGCUAGAAGAAUACUUCCUGUGUGAGAAGGUGUAGUUAUAUGACUAAGGAACGCUAAUUAAUUUUCUAGGGAUGCAUCCUCUGCACUUGAAUGACCAUUGGAACAGUGAAAGUUCGUUGUCUUUUAAGCCUCACUACUGGAAUUCUUCAAUGUGUGUCACUGCUGCAGUGAGCCAUGCAAGGUUACCACAUCAUAUUGGUCCUAAAUUUGUAGAGUUCCCCUAUCUCAGACGCAACCGUCAUUUUUCUUUAUUGCUCUCCCCAUCCUAUCUUCUCAGAGACUAAUGAUGUUCUCCAUGCAUUGCAUGGGCACUGCCUUUUCUACUCAUGAUUUCAGGUUCUUGUUCCGUUGAAUAAAUAUUCACUUGAGAGUUUGCAGCCAUCACGCUGUCUACUGUGUUUGCCUCUAUCUAUAUUGAUGUGCUAUAACGGCAUAGCACAUCAACAUGCCAAUAACCUACCAACAACAACCAAACAACGUUGCUAGUCCUACCUUUGGAUGGAAACUACACGAUUUGGUAACAUCCACAUAUAUAAGAUUUUAGUCGACGGAGAUUGGCUGUUUUUGUACAACCUUCAUUGUACUUUUCUUUCUUCUCACUUUAGCAUGCAUGAAGAAAAGUUCUCAUCUUCAUCAAGAUGACAGGUCACUGUUGGAUCUGCAGCAUUAUUGUCCCUGUAAUCUUUUCACCAACAGAGAAUACAAAAGUGCACAAAUGGUUUUACAACUCUAUCAAAUACGUCAAAACAUCAGAGGGCAGGAAGUCCUACUGUGUUUCCUAAAUCUCUGGACAAUAAAAAAGAGAGAUAUAGUUU